AUUGAACGCUGGCGGCAGGCCUAACACAUGCAAGUCGAACGAGUGGCGGACGGGUGAGUAAUGUCUGGGAAACUGCCUGAUGGAGGGGGAUAACUACUGGAAACGGUAGCUAAUACCGCAUACCCUCAGAUGUGCCCAAAUGGGAUUAGCUUGUUGGUGGGGUAACGGCUCCCCAGGGCGACGAUCCCUAGCUGGGCUGAGAGGAUGACCAGCCAACCUGGAACGGAGACACGGUUCAGACUCCGACGGUAGGCAGCAGUGGGGAAUAUGGCACAAUGGGCGCAAGCCUGAUGCAGCCAUGCCGCGUGUAUGAAGAAGGCCUGCGGGUUGUAAAGUACUUUCAGCGGGGAGGCGUUACCCGCAGAAGAAGCACCGGCUAACUCAGUGCCAGCCGCCGCGGUAAUAC
rnacentral:rRNA from 1 species